UUACUUCUCCCUCCCUCGUUUGUUUUUUGUGCUCUGUUUUCUCUCAUUUUUCAAUUUUGUCUCUUGUUUUCUCUAAUGCUGUAAAACUCUUUCGUCCAUUAGCGCUUGUCGGUCCUCACUCUCAGUUCUAAAUCCACGCACACAUCAACUACCAAAUUUGUCUUCAGCUUGUCCAGCAAUCAAUCUCGCUCAUACUGAUUCUCGACAGUGAUCAAAACCAUCGAACCAUCCCUCUCUCGGCACUCCCAUUGACAACCGAUUGCAUGCAUCAGCAGAUUCUGAAUCUCGACAGUGAUAAAAAAAAAAAAAAGAGAUGGCCUUCUUGGUAGUUUGUGUGGGACUCUUCAAUUCUUCAAUUCUUGGAAUUGUGAUAUUUUUGGUUUGUUCAUUGCUAAGCCCUAUUGCCUUCAUUGCCAUUCUCCACUUCCAGUCAUCAAAAUAUGGAGCAAGUUGAGAAGAAUACGGGGAAAGGAAAGGAAAGGAAACAUCGAGUCAAGGCCUAGAGGCGACUCGCACGAGGUAGAGAGACUAGUAAAGCAGUCGAGUGAUCUGUUAAGGACUACUGCACUACACUUUGAGAUUCUGCCGGGUAUUAAAUUAUACCCUUUGUACAUAUUUAUUUUGAUGUAUAUGACUGUAUGUACAUGUUGUAAAUUGGUUUUGAGCAGUU